AUGCAUUUAUAAGUUAAUGCGUAAUUCAAAGCCCAUUUUUAGGUUGACUCCAAUUUUCGUGGGAGGAGAAAGAUGAAUCAGCCAUUGUUCUCUUACAAAUUCGCCUUCGUCUUCUCCCUCUCUUUCGCCGCUUCAUAUACUGCCACUUCCACUGUUACAUUCACUCCUCCUUACUCUUUCCGCAAGCUCAAGCUCCGUUCCUCUGCCUCGCCGCCGGAAUCCGCCGUACCCAAGGCCUCAGUCGCCGAUUUGCUCGCUCUGUUGGGCCCACCUCAACAAGCCUCAGCUGUAAAUUCUCAAGAGGCCCGCCAGCUCCGCUCUUGCCUCAAAUUCCUCGUCCCUUUCUCUCCGAUUUCUCAGACUCCAAAUAGACGCUCGUUGAGUUCUAAAUUGAGUAAUCGAAGGAGUGUAAUCGAAGAGAAUGAGCUUAUUUGGUGGCCUCCGGCGCCGGUGAUGGAGCUGGCUCGCCUCGCCGUUGACUCUGGCGGUGAUCCUAGUUCUAUUCAUUGGACUCUUGAUCCAGCGGUCAUCCCUGUUCCAGACAUUGAAGGAUCAAAGGAAGACCGAUGUGAACUUACUAGAACUCCUUAUGGGAGAGUUUUCAUUAAUGAGGAGAUAAAUUCAUACCUUGAGUUUUUGUUUGAAAUGGUUGUUGCUCGGGGACCCAGUGUAGGGCUAAAUACAUCAUUGUCGCGAUUUGACUUCUUUCAUGGUCAUGUCUUUCUUGCCAGAGAGUCUGGAAGGCUUGGGAUUUUGUUCCAUGCUAAGGAGUAUCCAGCAUAUGAUAAGGAAAUCUUCCCUUACAACAUGGGCUACUGCCAAAUAGGAUCUAAUGUCUCUUAUGAUGAUUCGAUGAAUUUGCGGAACAUAUUGUGGCUAGCGCCAUUAGCUAGCAACUCUACAAAAGAAUGGUUAGCACCAGGAGUCCUAGUUGUCUUGGAUGCACAUCCAACUGGAGUCAUAUACAAGGACCUCAUACCUGAGUACGUACACAUUGCCAGGACCCUCUAUGAAGAUGAUUUUGGGCAAGUUGCCUUUGAUGUUAACUACCUAAACAUUGGAGGUGAAACACCCAAAUACCAAAUUUUCAUUUGCUGACCUCUUCUGAAGGUUCAGGUGUCAGCUUUCAGUUUUACAAAGUGAGAUCCAUAUUAUUUGUAGCAUUACUAUCAAUAUUUGAUUCUAGCGCAUUCAAAUGGAGGGUUGCUUGGAAAAGGACUGUGACUGACGAAGAUUUUACUGUUGGAACUGAAAGUUUUGAGUCCUUUAGCUUGUGAUUGGCCACUGUUUAUGGCAGAUUAUCCUUUCUUGAUUACUAUCAAAGCUUGGACAACGAAACAAUGAAUGAAUAACUAGAAAACGUCAUCCUUCUAAAGGGCUUACACUUUACGUUGUCUCUUAGAAGUAUUUUUUUCCUUAGCUUUUGUGUACUGAUUUUAUGCCUGUGGUUGUAAAGCCUUAAAGCUUGUUUGGAUGGUCGUUACUUGUUACCUAUUGUAUUGUAUCGUAUUGUUACAUAAAUGCAAUGUUUCUUUUGAUUGUUACUUA